UACGUAGGCAGCAAGCGUUGUUCGGAGUUACUGGGCGUAAAGGGUGUGUAGGCGGUUUUCUAAGUUUGGUGUGAAAUCUCCCGGCUCAACUGGGAGGGUGCGCCGAAAACUGGAAAGCUAGAGUACUGGAUGGGAGAGUGGAAUUCCUGGUGUAGCGGCGAAAUGCGUAGAUAUCAGGAGGAACACCUGUGGUGUAGACGGCUCUCUGGACAGUCACUGACGCUGAGACACGAAAGCGUGGGUAGCAAACAGG
rnacentral:rRNA from 1 species